rnacentral:rRNA from 1 species
AGGACGAACGCUGGCGGCGUGCUUAACACAUGCAAGUCGAACGGUGAAGCCCUUCGGGGUGGAUCAGUGGCGAACGGGUGAGUAACACGUGAGCAAUCUGCCCUUGACUCUGGGAUAACUUCGGGAAACCGGAGCUAAUACCGGAUAUGACAUGCGACCGCAUGGUCUGUGUGUGGAAAGAUUUAUCGGUUGGGGAUGAGCUCGCGGCCUAUCAGCUUGUUGGUGGGGUAAUGGCCUACCAAGGCGACGACGGGUAGCCGGCCUGAGAGGGCGACCGGGCCACACUGGGACUGAGACACGGCCCAGACUCCUACGGGAGGCAGCAGUGGGGAAUAUUGCGCAAUGGGCGAAAGCCUGACGCAGCGACGCCGCGUGAGGGAUGAAGGCCUUCGGGUCGUAAACCUCUUUCAGCAGGGAAGAAGCGCAAGUGACGGUACCUGCAGAAGAGCACCGGCUAACUACGUGCCAGCAGCCGCGGU